rnacentral:rRNA from 1 species
AUGCGAUACUUGGUGUGAAUUGCAGGAUCCCGUGAACCAUCGAGUCUUUGAACGCAAGUUGCGCCCGAAGCCAUUAGGCCGAGGGCACGUCUGCCUGGGCGUCACGC